GGAGGGUGCAAACGUUGUUCGGAAUUACUGGGCGUAAAGCGCAUGUAGGCGGAUACGUAGGUCAGAUGUGAAAGCCCUUGGCUCAACCAAGGAAGUGCAUCUGAAACCACAUAUCUUGAGUAUGACAGAGGGAAGUGGAAUUCCCAGUGUAGAGGUGGAAUUCAUAGAUAUUGGGAAGAACACCGGUGGCGAAGGCGGCUUUCUGGGUCAUUACUGACGCUGAGAUGCGAAAGCGUGGGGGGAGCAAACAGGAUUAGAUACCCUGGUAGUCCACGCCGUAAACGAUGUGCACUAGGUGUUGGGAGUAAUUAAACUCACAGUGCCGAAGCUAACGCAUUAAGUGCACCGCCUGGGGAUUACGGUCGCAAGACUA
rnacentral:rRNA from 1 species